rnacentral:rRNA from 1 species
UUAAUUUUUAUGAACCCCUAAUUUAUAAUGAAUGACUCCAUAUUUAUAUGGAAGACACCAUGCUAGGAUUAGUAACAAGAAUUUAUAAUUCUCCAAAAUGCAAAUAUAAACCAACAUGGAUAGACCAUUGGUAGUUACCGAACCUAAAUUUAAUGCAAUAACAUCCACAAGAAAACUCUGCAGCACUCACUCGUUAACCUAACACCAGCGCAUUACAGGAAAGAUUCAAAAAAAGAGAAGGAAUUCGGCAAAUGACGGCCCCGCCUGUUUACCAAAAACAUCGCCUCUUGACUUAUAAUAAGAGGUCCAGCCUGCCCAGUGAAUUUUAAACGGCCGCGGUAUCCUAACCGCGCGAAGGUAGCAUAAUCACUUGUUCUUUAAAUGGGGACUCGUAUCAACGGCAUCACGAGGGUUUUACUGUCUCCUCUUUUUGAUCAGUGAAAUUGAUCUUCCCGUGAAGAAGCGGGAAUAUUUUUAUAAGACGAGAAGACCCCAUGGAGCUUUAAACCAAAUAACAACUUAACCACUUAUCCCAUAAUAAAUUUAACCCCUGUUAUAAGGUUUUUGGUUGGGGUGACCGCGGAGUAAAGCACAUCCUCCACGACGGAAAGAAUAAAAUCUUUAUUUAAGAACCACACUUCUAGAAAUUAGUAUACUAACGUUUACUGACCCGACAAUCGAUCAACGGACCAAGUUACCCUGGGGAUAACAGCGCAAUCUACUUCGAGAGCUCAUAUCGACAAGUAGGCUUACGACCUCGAUGUUGGAUCAGGGUAUCCCGGUGGUGCAGCCGCUACCGAAGGUUCGUUUGUUCAACGAUUAAAACCCUACGUGAUCUGA